rnacentral:lncRNA from 1 species
GUAGCCUUAGCUAUAUUAAUCAAUAAAAUUCGAUUACGAUGGUCACGAACAAUCGCAUGAUGAUCUAUAGACCAUCGAUGGGUUUAAAAAUUUAUAAUAAUAAUCUUGAUGAUAUUUAUGAUGUACUAUUAAAAUUUUACUUCAAUCAAAUAUCAUUAUCAUAAUCAAUUUAAAACAGAAUAAUUUCAACUGUUAAAUAAAAUAUGAGUGAUCAAAAAGCUAAAUGAUAUUCGAUUAUAAGAUAAUUUUUUAGAUAAAUAAUUUUUGCUACUAUUUUGAUCAUUUGUAUGGUAGUGAUCAUAAAAUUCAAACCACACGUAUAUGAACG